rnacentral:rRNA from 1 species
AGUGAACGCUGGCGGUAGGCCUAACACAUGCAAGUCGAACGGCAGCACAGGAGAGCUUGCUCUCUGGGUGGCGAGUGGCGGACGGGUGAGGAAUACAUCGGAAUCUACUUUUUCGUGGGGGAUAACGUAGGGAAACUUACGCUAAUACCGCAUACGACCUACGGGUGAAAGCAGGGGACCUUCGGGCCUUGCGCGAUUGAAUUAGCCGAGGUCGGAUAGGCUAGUUGGCGGGGUAAAGGCCCACCAAGGCGCCGAUCCGUAGCUGGUCUGAGAGGAUGAUCAGCCACACUGGAACUGAGACACGGUCCAGACUCCUACGGGAGGCAGCAGUGGGGAAUAUUGGACAAUGGGCGCAAGCCUGAUCCAGCCAUACCGCGUGGGUGAAGAAGGCCUUCGGGUUGUAAAGCCCUUUUGUUGGGAAAGAAAUCCAGCUGGCUAAUACCCGGUUGGGAUGACGGUACCCAAAGAAUAAGCACCGGCUAACUUCGUGCCAGCAGCCGCCGUAA